UGCAGGAAGCAAUUUCCCUUGAGUAAUCUGGAAGGCACACCAAACAAGGCGCUGAUUUGCAGGUAAGUUUUUUGUAUAUUAUAUUUCUCUUAACAAAAUAAUAUCAAUGUUUUUAAUUGCAGAUACUGCCCAUUGUUUUUGUAUGUACUUCUCAACUGCAAUAGCUGCCGCAGGCGUUGACGGUGGAGGUGUCACCAUCAAAACCAUUAGAAACAACACCACCAAGUCAAUGAUGCAAGUGGAUGUUUUGCCAUGUAAUAGUCGACCGCUGAUGCCCUUCUCCUUCAAUUGUGAAAGUGUAAAGAGUAAUACCAGUGUGCAGUUCUGCAAGAGACGCAAACAAAACAAGAAUACAAUCGCAGGAAGACUCCAAAAAAUGUCCAACCUUGACUGAUCGCACUGGCUUAACAUUGGCAAUCAUUCGGAGGCAAAUGAGCUGGUCCGACAAGAAUCCCCAAGAAGCCAAACAGAUUUAGAUCAGCCUCUCGGCAGCUAAUGACGAUGUCGGCGAGUUGAAUCCAUCGAUUUUCA